rnacentral:tRNA from 1 species
GGGGGCAUAGCUCAGAUGGCAGAAUGCGUCCGGCUGUUAACCGGAAGGUCGCAGGUUCGAUCCCUGCUGCCCCCG